GAGACGGAUCUGGGUUGGAAUCCCGGCUCUGCCACGCGUGAGCCGUGGGCUUCCCUUAACCUCCCUGAGCCCCCGUCUUGGUAAGCAAGGGGAUAAAAGAGCGUUAUCAGCCUCCCCGGGAUGUCUGUGAAGAUUAAAUGAGCAAGCACACACAACAUAAUGGCCAGCACAUCAUACAUACCCAGUACAAUUAAAAGCCCUCCUUAACUGCUUUGAUGUUGAUUCAGCAUUUUACAGUUUACAAAGCACUUUUACAUGUAGGAGCUAGUUCAGUUCUGCCUCGUCCCCUUAAGGAAGCCACUGUGAGCUCCAUGUCUUAAAUGUGAGACCCUGAAGCUCAGAGCAGUCUAAUGACUUGCCCAAGGUCAACGAUUCCCAUUUUAAAACGAUCGAAUAGAAGCCAGUAGCUCGAGUAGGAUUUUGAGCAUUUGGUUCCGGUAUCGAGCACUCGACACAGAGCGGGAAUCAUGACCCACUGCUUGUCGUGUCUUGUCAAAGGAAUAUGAUUGGUGUUUCAGGCUCAUCUGGCCCACAGCUGUACCUGAGCCAGACCAGAGCGCAGCCCUGCCUGGGCCAUCUGCAGGCUCGGGGAUAGGUCAAUGUCAGAGUGCACAGCAGUUCAAAGACACUAGGAUUCGGGGCUCCGUUGUAGCUCAGCGGAGAGUGUAGAGAACAGGGUGACAAUGUAGCACAAUGAAUAUUGCACAGAGGGUGCUAAGCUUCCGCUUCAGCAAGAUCCAAAUGCUCAUUUCAUCUUGGAUUUUCCCUUCCGGCAGUGCCAUUCCCUACGGCCGCUGAUCCUGGGGACUUUGCUGGAGCCGUAUGGCCGCCCGCUAAAUUGGCUGUUCUUGAUGGUCCCAUGUGGCGGGCGUGGAACACCAACAGGAGAGGAGAAGGAGGUCAGCUCACACGGGGCCUCAUAUGAAGGGACUUUGGAUUUUCUCCUGAAGGAGACAACUGGCAAGGUUUGACCAGAGGACUGAAGCUGCCUGAUGUACACUGUGAUCCUUCUGUUGCUGUGUUAAGAACAACGGAAACAGUAAUAGCCAAUACUUACGUA
rnacentral:lncRNA from 1 species